GUUGAACGCUGGCGGCAGGCCUAACACAUGCAAGUCGAGCGGAGCGGCGGACGGGUGAGUAAUGCCUAGGAAUCUGCCUGGUAGUGGGGGAUAACGUCCGGAAACGGGAGCUAAUACCACAUACUAUCAGAUGAGCCUAGGUCGGAUUAGCUUUAUGGUGGGGUAACGGGUCACCAAGUCGACGAUCCCUAGCUGGUCUGAGAGGAUGACCAGCCACACUGGAAAUGAGACACGGGCCAGACUCCUACGGGAGGCAGCAGUGGGGAAUCGUGCACAAGGGGCGCAAGCCUGAUGCAGCCAUGCCGCGUGUAUGAAGAAGGCCUUCGGGUUGUAAAGUACGUUCAGCGGGGAGGCGUUACCCGCAGAAGAAGCACCGGCUAACUCCGUGCCAGCAGCCGCGGUAAUUC
rnacentral:rRNA from 1 species